UAGGGGAGUUUGUUGGGCUAGGUCAGGUCAAACGACUCCCAGAGACAGGCCACUAAAGAUGCAGGUGAGAGUGUUAGGGGAGCUUGUUGGGCUAGGUUAGGUCAAAUGACUCCCAGAGACAGGCCACUAAAGAUGCAGGUGAGAGUGCUAGGGGAGCUUGUUGGGCUAGGUUAGGUCAAAUGAUUCCCAGAGACAGGCCACUAAAGAUGCAGGUAAGAGUGUUAGGGGAGUUUGUUGGGCUAGGUUAGGUCAAAUGAUUCCCAGAGACAGGCCACUAAAGAUGCAGGUAAGAGUGUUAGGGGAGUUUGUUGGGCUAGGUUAGGUCAAAUGAUUCCCAGAGACAGACCACUAAAGAUGCAGGUAAUAGUGUUAGGGGAGUUUGUUGGGCUAGGUUAGGUCAAAUGACUCCCAGAGACAGGCCACUAAAGAUGCAGGUGAGAGUGCUAGGGGAGCUUGUUGGGUUAGGUUAGGUCAAAUGACUCCCAGAGACAGGCCAUUAAAGAUGCAGGUAAGAGUGUUAGGGGAGUUUGUUGGGCUAGGUUAGGUCAAAUGAUUCCUAGAGACAGGCCACUAAAGAUGCAGGUGAGAGUGCUAGGGGAGCUUGUUGGGCUAGGUUAGGUCAAAUGAUUCCCAGAGACAGGCCACUAAAGAUGCAGGUAAUAGUGUUAGGGGAGUUUGUUGGGUUAGGUUAGGUCAAAUGACUCCCGAGACAGGCCACUAAAGAUGCAGGUGAGAGUGCUAGGGGAGCUUGUUGGGCUAGGUUAGGUCAAAUGAUUCCCAGAGACAGGCCACUAAAGAUGCAGGUGAGAGUAUUAGGGGAGUUUGUUGGGCUAGGUUAGGUCAAAUGAUUUCCAGAGACAGGCCACUAAAGAUGCAGAUGAGAGUGUUAGGGGAGCUUGUUGGGCUAGGUUAGGUCAAAUGACUCCCAGACACAGGCCACUAAAGAUGCAGGUAAGAGUGUUAGGGGAGCUUGUUGGGCUAGGUUAGGUCAAAUGACUCCCAGAGACAGGCCACUAAAGAUGCAGGUGAGAGUGCUAGGGGAGCUUGUUGGGCUAGGUUAGGUCAAACGACUCCCAGAGACAGGCCACUAAAGAUGCAGGUGAGAGUGCUAGGGGAGCUUGUUGGGCUAGGUCAGGUCAAAUGACUCCCAGAGACAGGCCACUAAAGAUGCAGGUAAGAGUGUUAGGGGAGCUUGUUGGGCUAGGUUAGGUCAAAUGACUCCCAGAGACAGGCCACUAAAGA